CGGGGGUCCUUCCUGGCCGCGCUUGCUGAAACUGGCUGUAACCCACCUCUGAGGCUGCACGCAUGUGUUCGUGUCCUGCCUGGGGUGAUUUCCUAGCUGAGGAGUCCAGUUCCAGAGACGUGCGUGGCCGAGGCCUGGUGUCUCCCAAGGCGUCGCUGCCUGACAGAUUGUGGGAACUGGAGAGUGAGCUGACAUAAAACAAAGACAACUCAAAAUCUUCUUGAACAACCUCCAUGCCCAUUCUGCCAUGUUGAAAAUCUAAGUAUGCCAUCCCUUGAAUACGGCUGGAAAGUGACUCCACUGUAACAGCGGAGACGCUCUGGAGCUGGCAGAAGCACGACCAGAACGUCAGCCGGGGCAGAGCAAGCAGCCCCCCCCGCCACACAGGCGGGAAAAGGCAGCAACGAAGACUGCGCACUAGACAACGAAAAUUUGAGGGAAGCAAAUACAAAACCAGCAUAUAAUAUUGGAAGUGAGUUAGCAGGUAACAGCUGAAAAAAAUGAAGAGUUGAAAACUGGCUGAGAAGUAACUUCUAGAAAAUUAAUCCGUUUUUAAGUAUAACAUAUCUGUUACAAAAUGGUAACUGCAGGUUUGUUCAGGUCACUUUUCAGCCAUUACCCUUGGGCGUCUGUGCUUUCAUACAACAUUGAGCUCCGCAGGCCUAGCAGCACGUGCGGCUACGCUCCACUGUCGGAGGCAUUUUGGACUUUUUUUUUUCCUGUUGAACCCAAACCGAUUGGCCAAAUUUACAAGUAUCCUGCACUAAUUUUUAUAUGCAUCUUAAGUUCUGCAGAUAAGUGGGAGCUGACUAACUAUACUUGUAUAUCUGAGAUACCGCUACGGAUACAAAGCAACUUAGAUACAGAAAAGAGAGACAGAAAUGCCCUUCUGCACUUAGAAUUUGACACAAUUCCAUGCACAUGUGUUUCAAAACAUAAUGCAACUCUGCAGCUCUCUACGGUGCCGUCUUGCUGGAAUUUGCACCUUCUUCAGAAAGAUUAACGUAAAAUUGUAGAGCCAAGGCUUCAGUAAGUAUUGCUAAAUCCCUUUACGGGAUAGGUCACUAAAACUAAACAGCUUUCAUACCACAUAGCAUGUCUGACAGAUAGGAAUAGAAAUAUUCCUAAGUUUUUCCCAGUAACUCCCUCACAAACUGCACUUACUCAAUUUUAAUUUACAAAUAACAAUGAAAAAUCAUUCU